rnacentral:rRNA from 1 species
GACGAACGCUGGCGGCGUGCUUAACACAUGCAAGUCGAACGGAAAGGCCUUUUCGGAGGUACUCGAGUGGCGAACGGGUGAGUAACACGUGGGUGAUCUGCCCUGCACUCUGGGAUAAGCCUGGGAAACUGGGUCUAAUACCGGAUAGGACCGCACUUUAGUGUGUGUGGUGGAAAGUUUUUUCGGUGUAGGAUGAGCCCGCGGCCUAUCAGCUUGGUGGUGGGGUAAUGGCCUACCAAGGCGGCGACGGGUAGCCGGACUGAGAGGUUGGUCGGCCACAUUGGGACUGAGAUACGGCCCAGACUCCUACGGGAGGCAGCAGUGGGGAAUAUUGCACAAUGGGCGCAAGCCUGAUGCAGCGACGCCGCGUGGGGGAUGACGGCCUUCGGGUUGUAAACUCCUUUCGCCAGGGACGAAGCGUUUUGUGACGGUACCUGGAGAAGAAGCACCGGCUAACUACGUG